AAGAUUAUUGAGAAAACAAAAUAUAUGCGAGGUCAGCAUCUCUUCUAAUAAUAGAAAUAUUGUGACGGAUUAUGAUUAGUGAUCGAAUAAUAAAUAGAAGCAGGAUAAAGAAGACACAGAUUUACGUGGUUCAGCAACAAUGUGUUGGCUACGUACAUGGACAGGUGCGGAGAACAGAUCUAUCGAGGACAUUACAGCUCUUCUCAAGCAACCAUAGGGGCGAUUACCAAUUAACUUCCUUCUCAUGACAGCACCAGAACAUUCUACAGCAAAAGGGUGUUCGUUGAAAGUGCUAACCUUGCUUGUUUCACCUGAAGUGAAGCUUCAAGUAUAGCAGAUGCAGAAGUUUUUGCAGAUUUUUGCAAUAUCACUGCUGGAGAGCAAUCUACUAUUCCAGAAUCCUGAAAAUGUUUGUCUUUCUGAGCUAAAUCUGAGGAACUUUGAAGAACAUUGAUUUCAUGAGGACAACUGGACUCCGU